AGAGUUUGAUCCUGGCUCAGGAUGAACGCUAGCGGGAGGCCUAACACAUGCAAGCCGAGCGGUAUUGUUUCUUCGGAAAUGAGAGAGCGGCGUACGGGUGCGGAACACGUGUGCAACCUGCCUUUAUCUGGGGGAUAGCCUUUCGAAAGGAAGAUUAAUACUCCAUAACAUAUUGAUUGGCAUCAAUUAAUAUUGAAAGCUCCGGCGGAUAGAGAUGGGCACGCGCAAGAUUAGCUAGUUGGUGAGGUAACGGCUCACCAAGGCGAUGAUCUUUAGGGGGCCUGAGAGGGUGAUCCCCCACACUGGUACUGAGACACGGACCAGACUCCUACGGGAGGCAGCAGUGAGGAAUAUUGGUCAAUGGGUGCAAGCCUGAACCAGCCAUCCCGCGUGAAGGACGAGUGCCCUAUGGGUUGUAAACUUCUUUUGUAUAGGGAUAAACCUACCCUCGUGAGGGUAGCUGAAGGUACUAUACGAAUAAGCACCGGCUAACUCCGUGCCAGCAGCCGCGGUAAUACGGAGGGUGCAAGCGUUAUCCGGAUUUAUUGGGCUUAAAGGGUCCGUAGGCGGACUUAUAAGUCAGUGGUGAAAGCCUGUCGCUUACGAUAGAACUGCCAUUGAUACUGUAAGUCUUGAGUAUAUUUGAGGUAGCUGGAAUAAGUAGUGUAGCGGUGAAAUGCAUAGAUAUUACUUAGACACCAAUUGC
rnacentral:rRNA from 1 species